GGCUUCGUGGAUCAAGGUAGAUCAUACUCAUCUUAUGAACACUCGGUGAUGUUAAAUGAGAGAAACGCGGGUUCGACUCCCGCCGAAGCUG